rnacentral:rRNA from 1 species
GCCUACACAUGCAAGUCGCACGAGCAACGUUUCAGCUUGCUGGAACUAGUAAAGUGGCGCACGGGUGAGUAACGCGUGGGUAAUCUACCUCCGAAUUGGGGAUAACAUUGCGAAAGCGAUGCUAAUACCGAAUGAUAUCUCAGCAACUUCAGUUUUUGAGAUCAAAGGUGGCCUCUCCUUGGAAGCUUCUGUUUGGAGAUGAGCCCGCGUACCAUUAGCUUGUUGGUAGGGUAAUGGCCUACCAAGGCAACGAUGGUUAGCUGGUCUGAGAGGAUGAUCAGCCAAACUGGAACUGACACACGGUCCAGACUCCUACGGGAGGCAGCAGUGAGGAAUUUUGCGCAAUGGGGGAAACCCUGACGCAGCAACGCCGCGUGAGUGAUGAAGGCUUUCGGGUCGUAAAGCUCUGUCAAGUGGGNAAGAACCUGCCUUUUGCUAAUAUCAAUCGGCACUGACGGUACCACUGAAGGAAGCACCGGCUAACUCCGUGCCAGCAGCCCCGGUAAUACGGGGGGUGCAAGCGUUAUUCGGAAUUACUG